UUCGUUUACAAAAAUAACAAUUGUUCUAAUUCUUUUCUCAUGUUUUAUAUCUAAUUUUAGCGUUUUUCAUCUAAAUAAUAAUGGUGCAGUGUUGGGCACCUGGCUGUAAGCAUUACAAUGUCAGAGAGCGUUGUAAGUUUUAUAGAUUUCCAAAGGAUCCAAAAGUAAGAAGCAAAUGGAUAAAGCUAACAAGAAGAACAACAGAACCAGGUCCCGGAGCUUUUUUGUGUAGUUGUCAUUUUGUAGAUGGAAAAAAAGAAAA